UGCUUUUCCUCCUAACUCAGCCGUCCACGAUCACUAUUCACCCAGCGCCGGGGGCUCCCACAGCAUAGAGAACCACAAGCAAAAGAAGCACUGGCCUUGUCCCCACGCUGAAGUCUGCUUUAGGCAUAAAAGCAGAGUUUACAGAGAGUUCACCAACCCUAGGAAGACGAGAGAAGCCCGCAGUUCUGCCUUCUGAACCAUGCUCUGCUCUUUUAACUUCCAUACCGGUUUCACUGUGAGAAAAAGUAAUGGGAUGAAACUAAACAGCUCAAUUAGCAACGGCAAUAGAUGCCAAAGAAAGCGUCUCGGCAGAUCAUUGACGGUGGCGCAGCUGGCUUACCAGGUGAGAAUUCUGGGACGAAGAGAAAGCCAUUCUAAGCUGUACAACAACGAUGGUUAAGAGUAUGGACUUUGAAGGAAGAGAAACUAAAUCUGUCCUUGGCAAAUCUGUGUAAUCUUAAGCUUCGGUUUCCUCAUUGGCUUGAUAUGUGAACUAAAUAAAAUACGCAUGUAAAGUCCUGGGCAGAGCGGCCACUAAUACAACACUGAUGGAGUGCUGAUGACCAACAACAUGGAUUCAGAGCUUUUUCCCUCAGAGAUGACACAUACAGGCAAUGCCAAGGGAGGCGUCGAAGUCAAAGGCAAGGCAUUUCUACUGCAUCAAGAAAAACAGUCCAUCAAAUGAAAGCCAGUAUUUCUAGGGAAAGUGCUGGUUCUAAACUCGUCUCCACUAAACGCUUUAGUUUCUUCCAGAUUAAAAAAAAAAAACUUUUUAUUUAAAUUGUCAAAGAUAAUAUAAUUGUAGUUGUGGGUAACGGAGGGAAUUAAGACAAUAUACCCUGCCUCACUCACCAAAUAGCGCCUCCAAUUAAAUCUAGGCUACAGAGAAGAGGUUGUAUUUUUAAAUGAAGGACCACCUUACAUACAAAAAUAUUUUUCCAGUAGAAAGUUAAAAUCUUUGACUUCAAAUGCUGAUGUAGGAGACGGAGUCAGAAAUAAUGGUUCCUCCUGCUUCCCAAAUCCAUUUCUUUUGUACUGAAAUUAUUUGUUGAGUUGGUUAAAUCAUAAUGAACUGCGGUUGAUUUCGGAGGAAAGGGAACAUGCGAGCAGGAUGAUGAGAAGUAAAAAAAUUCCACUACAACCAGGAUAUCUUUGUUUAA